rnacentral:rRNA from 1 species
GUACCUUCAACAGCGGAUGAAUCCACUGAUUUAUUCCCUAGCUAAAGGAGUUUACAACCCAUAGGGCAUUAUUCCUCCACGCGGGAUGGCUGGAUCAGAGUUGCCUCCAUUGUCCAAUAUUCCUUACUGCUGCCUCCCGUAG